UACGGGGGGGGUAAGCGUUGUUCGGAAUUACUGGGCGUAAAGGGCUCGUAGGCGGCCAACUAAGUCGGACGUGAAAUCCCUCAGCUUAACCGGGGAACUGCGUCUGAUACUGGAUGGCUUGAGUUUGGGAGAGGGACGCGGAAUUCCAGGUGUAGCGGUGAAAUGCGUAGAUAUCUGGAGGAACACCGGUGGCGAAGGCGGCGUCCUGGACCAACACUGACACUGAGGAGCGAAAGCCAGGGGAGCAAACGGG
rnacentral:rRNA from 1 species